rnacentral:rRNA from 1 species
AACAAACGCUGGCGGCGUGCCUAACACAUGCAAGUCGUACGAGAAAGGGUCCUUCGGGGCCUGAGUAAAGUGGCGCACGGGUGAGUAACGCGUGGAUAAUCUGCCCUUCAGUUGGGAAUAACUCAUCGAAAGGUGGGCUAAUACCGAAUAAUACUGUGAGACCUCGGUUGAUCAGCCAAAGAGAGCCUCUGCUUGCAAGCCCUCGCUGAAGGAUGAGUCCGCGUACCAUUAGCUAGUUGGUAGGGUAAUGGCCUACCAAGGCGACGAUGGUUAGCUGGUCUGAGAGGAUGAUCAGCCACCAUGGAACUGAGUCACGGUCCAGACUCCGACGGGAGGCAGCAGUGAGGAAUCUUGCGAAAUGGGGGCAACCCUGACGCAGCAACGCCGCGUGAGUGAGGAAGGUCUUCGGAUCGUAAAGCUCUGUCGGAUGGAAAGAACCGCAUAGGGGUAAACAGCCCCUGUGUCUGACGGUACCAUCAAAGGAAGCACCGGCUAACUCCGUGCCAGCCGCCGCGGUAAGAC